AACGAACGCUGGCGGCAUGCCUAACACAUGCAAGUCGAACGAGACCUUCGGGUCUAGUGGCGCACGGGUGCGUAACGCGUGGGAACCUGCCCUUAGGUUCGGAAUAACUCCCCGAAAGGGGUGCUAAGACCGGAUAAUGUCUUCGGACCAAAGAUUUAUCGCCUUUGGAUGGGCCCGCGUUGGAUUAGCUAGUUGGUAGGGUAAAAGCCUACCAAGGCGACGAUCCAUAGCUGGUCUGAGAGGAUGAUCAGCCACACUGGGACUGAGACACGGCCCAGACUCCUACGGGAAGCAGCAGUGGGGAAUAUUGGACAAUGGGCGAAAGCCUGAUCCAGCGAUGCCGCGUGAGUGAUGAAGGCAUUAGGGUUGUAAAGCUCUUUUACCCGGGAUGAUAAUGACAGUACCGGGAGAAUAAGCUCCGGCUAACUCCGUG
rnacentral:rRNA from 1 species